AGAGACACAGUCUUUAGGUUUAACAGAAGGUUUACAGACACCCACUUGGGAAGGGUCCAUUACCACAAAGGUAGGUAAUCUACACAGACUGUCUGUCAUCCCACUCUGAAUAGCCCCAGAAAACAAAGUCCCAGAAUCUGGGGAAGUCAAAGCAUCCUGCUCACUCACCGCAUCCGGCUGCUCGAAAGUGAAUGUAGACGGGGAAUGAAGUCCUAAAUCCAAAAGAAGAAAUUCCUGCUCCCAUGGAUAUAGCGAGCCCAAAAGCCAUGGGAGACCGGUCACCAGACGCUGUAGCCGCCUCUCUAUAGCGCGCUGGGACUUGUCAUCCUGGCUUUCCAGCCACAGGUCGAUGAGCUCUUGUGUGGCAUCGAUGAGGUUCUCCCGUAGUUCUGUAGACGGGUUAAGUGCUGCUGGGUCCAUCUUGUGGUCGCGUCGUACUGUCACGGCUCGGGGCAGCGGCCGUGUGAGGUGAGGAAGGAGGACUCAAAUGCAGCACUUAUUCAGAUGCGAGGGUGGUUUAUUAAGGAUACUGAACAUAAAGUGGGGAUGGCAAAACAGAACUAAGGAUGAACUAAACUGGGAGAAACUAAACCAAGAAGUAGCAAACCUGAACAUGGAGGGAGGACAGCAGGGAGAGGAUGAACACAGCUGGAACUAAUGAACCUAAUGAGACACAAAUCUACAAAGUAAAACAGGAAACACACAGCCUGUUUUACCACACAAGACUCGGGGACCCGAACAGCGCACAGAGGGAAGACACAGGUGAUUGGCCACACCUGAAGACCAUGUCACACCUGCAGCUGAUCAGGCCUCGUCGGAGGAGCUACUUGAGAGUGUGGUGGAGCUCUCUCCGACGCGGGAUCAUUGCGUGACUUGACGAGAAGCAGGGAGACAAGAGGACGAGCGAGCACGGGGUGCUCAGACACCAAGGAGCGGGGAGAGGGACACUGACACUGGGAGAAGGACACGUCACGGGAGUCGGGAGUGCACAGAGGAUUUACUGUUAUUUUCCUUACAACUGUAAAUAAACGCACUGUUUACACACAGAGCACCGCACCUGGGUCCUCCUUCCUCACACCCCCCCACGGUCUGCCAGCCAGACCGUGACAGU